rnacentral:misc_RNA from 1 species
GCCAAACAAUUUUCUCAGCGAAGAUGUAAGAUAUGCUUCCACUGAAGAGUGAAGAUAGACGCCUACUGUUCAUUUGGCGCGCAACUCUUGGACUUUUGGGAAAUGAUCACUAUCUUCAAUGAGUAGAAGAGUACAAAUAACUUGCAGAAAAAGCGUACCUCCUAUGGUUAUUUAACACAUAUCGACAUAUAGCUGUAAGUUUGAACUAUUG